CUCAGUAGCUUCAUAUUUAAUACUCGUAAUCACUCUUUCAAAUUAGGUUUAAGACAAACAUAUGCUGUGGGCACAUCUUCCCUUUGAAGAACUGAGCUAUGCAUGGAAUGUUACAAAACAGAAAAAUAUGUAUAUGCUCUGUUUAUUGCUGUUAGGUUGAUAUAUAGCAUUUUAUUCAAACUGACUACACUGGUCUGAUUGCA